rnacentral:rRNA from 1 species
UGGGGAAUAUUGCACAAUGGGGGAAACCCUGAUGCAGCGACGCCGCGUGAACGAAGAAGGUAUUCGUAUCGUAAAGUUCUGUCCUAUGGGAAGAUAAUGACAGUACCAUAGAAGAAAGCUCCGGCUAAAUACGUGCCAGCAGCCGCGGUAAUACGUAUGGAGCGAGCGUUGUCCGGAAUCAUUGGGCGUAAAGGGUACGCAGGCGGUUUAAUAAGUCGAAUGUUAAAGAUCGGGGCUCAACCCCGUAAAGCAUUGGAAACUGAUAAACUUGAGGAGUGGAGAGGAAAGUGGAAUUCCUAGAGUAGUGGUGAAAUACGUAGAUAUUAGGAGGAAUACCAGUAGCGAAGGCGACUUUCUGGACACAAACUGACGAUGAGGUACGAAAGCGUGGGGAGCAAACAGG